AAUGUGAGUGGAGUUCAGAGGUGCGCUCUUCAGAUUAGAAGCUACAUGGCCAGGGGUCGUAGGCUCUGCCAACCAAAGCCCAAGGCUCAAACCAAGGCAGAGGCCUCAGCUCCAGCUCAGGCUCCCAAAGGUGCCCAGGCCCCUGUGAAGGCCCCAUAGAAAAGGUUUCUGUCUGCCAGACAGAUGGACUGGUGUGACACACCUACACACUAUUUGCAGAUGAUCAGGACUGCU